GACGAACGCUGGCGGCGUGCUUAACACAUGCAAGUUGAACGGUGAAGCGCCUUCCUUUUUGGUGGGUGUGGAUGAGUGGCGAACGGGUGAGUAACACGUGAGUAACCUGCCCCCUUCUUCUGGAUAACCGCAUGAAAGUGUGGCUAAUACGGGAUAUUCUGGGUCUGUCGCAUGAUGGGUCUGGGAAAGAUAUUGUUUCGGUGGGGGAUGGGCUCGCGGCCUAUCAGCUUGUUGGUGGGGUGAUGGCCUACCAAGGCGGUGACGGGUAGCCGGCCUGAGAGGGUGGACGGUCACACUGGGACUGAGACACGGCCCAGACUCCUACGGGAGGCAGCAGUGGGGAAUAUUGCACAAUGGGCGCAAGCCUGAUGCAGCGACGCCGCGUGAGGGAUGGAGGCCUUCGGGUUGUGAACCUCUUUCGCCAGUGAAGCAGGCCUGCCUCGUUUGUGGGUGGGUUGACGGUAGCUGGAGAAGAAGCGCCGGCUAACUACGUG
rnacentral:rRNA from 1 species